CACCCUCCACAGGCUGCUGGCCCCCAGGCUGGGCUGGGCGAGUAUCCCUUCUAAAAGCUCACCCUCAAGCACGACUAGGAGC
rnacentral:pre_miRNA from 1 species